rnacentral:rRNA from 1 species
AUUGAACGCUGGCGGCAGGCCUAACACAUGCGAGUCGAGCGGAUGAAGGGAGCCUGCUCCUGGAUUCAGCGGCGGACGGGUGAGUAAUGCCUAGGAAUCUGCCUGGUAGUGGGGGAUAACGUCCGGAAACGGGCGCUAAUACCGCAUACGUCCUGAGGGAGAAAGUGGGGGAUCUUCGGACCUCACGCUAUCAGAUGAGCCUAGGUCGGAUUAGCUAGUUGGUGGGGUAAAGGCCUACCAAGGCGACGAUCCGUAACUGGUCUGAGAGGAUGAUCAGUCACACUGGAACUGAGACACGGUCCAGACUCCUACGGGAGGCAGCAGUGGGGAAUAUUGGACAAUGGGCGAAAGCCUGAUCCAGCCAUGCCGCGUGUGUGAAGAAGGUCUUCGGAUUGUAAAGCACUUUAAGUUGGGAGGAAGGGCAGUAAGUUAAUACCUUGCUGUUUUGACGUUACCAACAGAAUAAGCACCGGCUAACUUCGUG